UGGGGAAUAUUGGGCAAUGGGGGAAACCCUGACCCAGCAACGCCGCGUGAGUGAAGAAGGCCUUCGGGUUGUAAAGCUCUGUCAUUAGGGAAGAAGAAGUGACGGUACCUAAUGAGGAAGCCCCGGCUAACUACGUGCCAGCAGCCGCGGUAAUACGUAGGGGGCGAGCGUUGUCCGGAAUUACUGGGCGUAAAGGGUGCGUAGGCGGCGUGUUAAGUUGGAUGUGAAAUACCCGGGCUUAACCUGGGGGGUGCAUUCGAUACUGGCAGGCUAGAGUGCAGGAGAGGGAAGCGGAAUUCCUAGUGUAGCGGUGAAAUGCGUAGAUAUUAGGAGGAACACCAGUGGCGAAGGCGGCUUUCUGGACUGUAACUGACGCUGAUGCACGAAAGCGUGGGGAGCAAACAGG
rnacentral:rRNA from 2 species